GGGAGAAAGAGGCAAAGUUUAGAAUACUUCAAACCCAUUUGGUGAUGAGGCAAUAACCUGACUUGAUCCGGGUCCCAAGGGCAGGACAAAAACCAUUAUUCUUGGUGCACCAGAGUGUUUCUUAACCGUUUUAGAAAGACCAAGUGGCAAUAUACAUUUGUCAUAUAUCUUAUGUGAUGGUCUUGAUGCCGCAGGAAGGGAAAAAGCCCGCGGCUUCCGGUCCGGAGAAGCCGGCAGGAUGGAGGCUCGGAGAAUGGCUGCAGCGAUCCCCUCACUGCCCUGUCUCCCUUCACUUUCCGAGACAGAGAGGAGCCCGGAAUGUGGUGAUGACAAAUGGGAGGAUGUGGCAAGAUUUAUUGGACAAUUACCAAUGUUUCUCCUCACUCAACUUUCCUUUCACUGACAAAGAGAAACAAAACAAAACAAAACAAAAAAACACCGAGCAGUGUUUGCGGGCCAACAGUUAUGCCUGGAAGCUCUAAGUAAGUCAUUUCCUAACAGCUCUGUUCCCUGAAUGUGGGCUUAUCAAAACUGCCCAGGAUUUUAUUGAAGUUCACUUUUCUAAUGGAAAAGAUCUGGUGAGCAGGCCUUGCUUUGCACACCUUAGCUUCCCAGGCCCUCUCAUGGUAUCAUGUGGGGAAAUCUGACAUUCCACAGUGGCCUCAGC
rnacentral:lncRNA from 1 species